rnacentral:rRNA from 1 species
AACGCGAAGAACCUUACCCAGACUUGACAUACAGUGGAAGUUAGCAGAAAUGUUAACGCCCUUCGGGGCCGCUGAACAGGUGCUGCAUGGCUGUCGUCAGCUCGUGCCGUGAGGUGUUGGGUUAAGUCCCGCAACGAGCGCAACCCUUAUCGUUAGUUGCCAACAGGUAAUGCUGGGAACUCUAGCGAGACUGCCUGGGUUAACCAGGAGGAAGGUGAGGAUGACGUCAAGUCCGCAUGGCCCUUAUGUCUGGGGCUACACACGUUCUACAAUGGUCGGUACAGAAGGCAGCGAAACCGCGAGGCGAAGCAAAUCCCUAAAACCGGCCCCAGUUCAGAUUGUAGUCUGCAACUCGACUACAUGAAGAUGGAAUUGCUAGUAAUGGCGAGUCAGCAACAUCGCCGUGAAUACGUUCCCGGGCCUUGUACACACCGAGACGAC